GACGAACGCUGGCGGCGUGCCUAAUACAUGCAAGUCGAACGCACAGUUUAUACCGUAGCUUGCUACACCAUAGACUGUGAGUUGCGAACGGGUGAGUAACACGUAGGUAACCUGCCUGGUAGCGGGGGAUAACUAUUGGAAACGAUAGCUAAUACCGCAUAAUAUUGAUUAUUGCAUGAUAAUUGAUUGAAAGAUGCUAUUGCAUCACUACCAGAUGGACCUGCGUUGUAUUAGCUAGUAGGUGAGGUAACGGCUCACCUAGGCGACGAUACAUAGCCGACCUGAGAGGGUGAUCGGCCACACUGGGACUGAGACACGGCCCAGACUCCUACGGGAGGCAGCAGUAGGGAAUCUUCGGCAAUGGACGAAAGUCUGACCGAGCAACGCCGCGUGAGUGAAGAAGGUUUUCGGAUCGUAAAGCUCUGUUGUAAGAGAAGAACGGGUGUGAGAGUGGAAAGUUCACACUGUGACGGUAUCUUACCAGAAAGGGACGGCUAACUACGUG
rnacentral:rRNA from 1 species